CUACGGGAGGCAGCAGUGAGGAAUAUUGCGCAAUGGGGGAAACCCUGACGCAGCGACGCCGCGUGGAUGAUGAAGGCCUUCGGGUCGUAAAAUCCUGUCAGAUGGAAAGAAGUGUAUAGAUGUUAAUACCAUUUAUAUUUGACGGUACCAUCAAAGGAAGCACCGGCUAACUCCGUGCCAGCAGCCGCGGUAAUACGGAGGGUGCAAGCGUUGUUCGGAAUUACUGGGCGUAAAGCGCGCGUAGGCGGUUUUAUAAGUCAGAUGUGAAAGUCCACGGCUCAACCGUGGAAGUGCAUUUGAAACUGUAUUACUUGAGUACUGGAGGGGGUGGUGGAAUUCCCGGUGUAGAGGUGAAAUUCGUAGAUAUCGGGAGGAAUACCGGUGGCGAAGGCGACCACCUGGCCAGAUACUGACGCUGAGGUGCGAAAGCGUGGGGAGCAAACAGGAUUAGAUACCCUUGUAGUC
rnacentral:rRNA from 1 species